AGUUUAUUGUUUUUUAUAAUAAAUAUUUUCUGCCCGGUGUUUGGAUAUACGGCCGCGGUAUUUUGACCGUGCAAAGGUAGCAUAAUCAUUUGCCCUUUAAUUGGGGGCUGGAAUGAAUGAAAGUUUGCAAUUUCGACUGUCUCUUUUUUAUUUUAUAAUUUGCUGUUUUUAUGAAGAAGUAGGGGUGACAUAGUAGGACAAGAAGACCCUUUUAAGCUUUAUUUUUAUUUUUUUAUUUUUUCUUUUAAGUAUUGUUGUAAUUAUUAAUAAAAUUUGGUUGGGGUGAUUAGAAAAGAUAAUAUCUUUUCUGGAUUUCUAAAUAUUGUAUUUUAGUUUGAACCAGGAUUUUUUGGUUGAUAGAAUUAGUUACUAAAGGGAUAACAGCGUAAUUUUUUCAGAGAGUUCUUAUUGAAGAAAAGGAUUGCGACCUCGAUGUUGACUUGUUUUAUCCUUGUAAGGUGCAGUAGCUGAUAGGGUUAGUCUGUUCGACUAUUAAAAAAGC
rnacentral:rRNA from 2 species